AAUUGUUUUUAAAAAUAGCCCUUUUCAUUCUUUUUGAACAUGAAGAAGUGCUUCAUGCUCCUGUGACAGACAGAAAACUUGUACCAGACAUAGUGAUAAAGGCUGAGAAUCAUCAUUGUUCUUAUAUUUUUGUUUACCUAUUGAAGCAGCAAGGAUCUUUGUCUGAUAUUCUGAACCCCAGAGUCAUAUGAGAAGAAGAAAAAUGAAUGGAUGAAGGAAUAAGUCUCUUCUUCAACUCAGAGGCUCCACUGAGAUGCUCCAUUGAUUCAUUGGACAGAGCCAGUUAAACUUCAUUGGCAGAGAAGUACACUUUAUGAGUGGCUUAAACCUGGGUACAGGCCAGGCAUGGUGGCUCAAGUCUGAAAUCCCAGCACUCUGGGAGGCUGAGGCAGGCGGAUCACUCGAGGCCAGGAGUUCGAGACCAGCUUGGCCAACAUGGUGAAACAGCAUCUCUACUAAAAAGACAAAAAUUAGCCAGGCAUGAUGGCAUGCGCCUGUGAUCCCAGCUACUUGUGGGGCUGAGGCAUAAGAAUUGCUUGAACCCGGGAGGUGGAGGUUGCAGUGAACCAAGAUCAUGCCACUGUGCUCCAGCCUGGGAGACAGAGCAAGACACUGUCUCAAAAAAACAAAAACAAAAACAAACAAACAAAGGGUACAUCUUUCCUUGGUUCCUGGAGUGAAUUCCAAGCAGCAAUAAAACUGUAACUUUGGUAACUUUUGGUUUCUCUAUUUUGGCCUCCGUAUUCAUUUUGGUUCUGUUUUUGUUUCUGCACACGGCCAAUAAGGUAUUGCCCCUUGUGGCAGGAAUGAUUAGGGAUUUGGUUUUAUGGUCUAAUCAUUUGGUGAUCUCUGUAAAAGGAUGAUACAAAUCUAUUUUGUUUGGUUAAGAGAAGACAGAGAAUCUGGCUUAUUAGUCUUUCUUGUUUAUUUCUCUUAUUGUCCAUUCUGAGGCCAAAUCAAUUAAGAUUUUUGUGCCCUCUAGGAAAGAAAAUAGCUCUUUAUGAGUGGACUGAUGAAUAUUUAUGGUUCUGUGUUUACUCUUGACUUACAGCUCAAGUUGUAAGUAGAACUGAAGCUAUUGUGUUUCUUAUCUGUCUGUGUGUUCACGUGUCUGUAAUACAGAAAAACAUUUACCUCAUUUUGUGAGUGUGAAGUGUUUGCCUUCCUAUUUCUGUAAGGUAUUCAUAAAUUAUAUCGUCUCUUAAAGAUGCCCUGUUCUAACUGGCUGAGAGAGAUAGUAAGUUCUUAUAUAAAAUAUUUCUAAAAUUCCUAGAUAAUAAAUAAUUUUAACUUACAAUAUUUUAAAUAUGCUACACUGAAAAUAUUCUACUUAUAAUUUUGAGAAUGUGAGUUCAUAUAAUUAGGAUAAAUCUGUAGCAAAUGAGACUAACUUAAUAAUUCCAGUUAUUAAGGAAACCCAAAAGCCAGGUAUGAUGACGUGUACCUAUAAUGCUAGCUACUUGGGAGGCUGAGGCAGGAGGAUUAUUGCUUAAGCCCAGAAGUUAGAGACCAACUUGAGCAAAAUAUUGAGACCCUGCCUCAAAACAUACAUAUAAACAAAGAAAAAAAACAAACCCCAAACUUAAAUAACAAUAAUAAAAAAACCUCAGCCA
rnacentral:lncRNA from 10 species